rnacentral:rRNA from 1 species
GGGGAAUAUUGGACAAUGGGCGAAAGCCUGAUCCAGCCAUGCCGCGUGUGUGAAGAAGGUCUUCGGGUUGUAAAGCACUUUAAGUUGGGAGGAAGAUAAUGACGGUAACCGGAGAAGAAGCCCCGGCUAACUUCGUGCCAGCAGCCGCGGUAAUACGAAGGGGGCUAGCGUUGCUCGGAAUCACUGGGCGUAAAGCGCACGUAGGCGGAUCGUUAAGUCAGGGGUGAAAUCCUGGGGCUCAACCUCAGAACUGCCCUUGAUACUGGCGAUCUCGAGUUCGAGAGAGGUUGGUGGAACUCCCAGUGUAGAGGUGAAAUUCGUAGAUAUUCGGAAGAACACCAGUGGCGAAGGCGGCCAACUGGCUCGAUACUGACGCUGAGGUGCGAAAGCGUGGGGAGCAAACA